rnacentral:misc_RNA from 1 species
UUUAGAGGAAGUAAAAGUCGUAACAAGGUUUCCGUAGGUGAACCUGCGGAAGGAUCAUUAUCGAAAUCCAUAGAGAGGGAGGAGGGGAGGGGAAAGAUGGAAAGUGAAAUGACUGUCGCUGGUCCCUUUGCUAUUUGCUGUUUGGGGGGCAUGUGCACGUCUUGCAUUUUCAUUGACCUUUCUCUCUCUCACUCUCUCAUGACACAACACCUGUGCACCUAUUGUAGGCCCUCGCAAGAGGACCUAUGUAUUUUACAUCACACACAUCGCAUGUCUAGAAUGUAUUGAGAACCGUCGAUCCAUCGAAAGAUGGGUGGGGCGGUCGAGAUGGAAAUCAUACAACUUUCAGCAACGGAUCUCUUGGCUCUCGCAUCGAUGAAGAACGCAGCGAAUUGCGAUAAGUAAUGUGAAUUGCAGAUUUUCAGUGAAUCAUCGAAUCUUUGAACGCACCUUGCGCUUCUUGGUAUUCCGAGAAGCAUGCCUGUUUGAGUGUCAUUGAAUUCUCAACCAUGUCUUGAUUGAUUUUCGAGGCAUUGGCUUGGAGUUGGGGGUUGCUGGCGGCGAGAAGCCAUCAGCUCUCCUGAAAUGCAUUAGCGAAAGGGGUUGCAAGUCUUACCUGGACGUGCACGGCCUUUGACGUGAUAACGAUCGUCGUGGGCUUGGAGCGUCUUGACUGGGAGUCCCUUCUGAUCGCUUCUAAUUCCCUUAUGGAACCGGCUUUGGAUUGGAUUGGCUUGACUUUACUAGUUGGUCUCGACGAACGGUCAGGUCCGAAAACUUCCUAGGCUGGGUCUGUCUUUGAAAUCUUGACCUCAAAUCAGGUAGGACUACCCGCUGAACUUAAGCAUAUCAAUAAGCGGAGGAAAAGAAACUAACAAGGAUUCCCCUAGUAACUGCGAGUGAAGCGGGAAGAGCUCAAAUUUUGAAUCUGGUGGUCCUUGGCCGUCCGAGUUGUAAUCUAGAGAAGCGUCUUCCGCGCUGGACCGUGUACAAGUCUCCUGGAAGGGAGCGUCAUAGAGGGUGAGAAUCCCGUCUUUGACACGGACUACCAGGGCUAUGUGAUGCGCUCUCGACGAGUCGAGUUGUUUGGGAAUGCAGCUCAAAAUGGGUGGUAAAUUCCAUCUAAAGCUAAAUACAGGCGAGAGACCGAUAGCGAACAAGUACCGUGAGGGAAAGAUGAAAAGAACUUUGGAAAGAGAGUUAAACAGUACGUGAAAUUGCUGAAAGGGAAACGCUUGAUGUCAGUCACGUCGGCUGGGGAUCAACCUUGCUUUUCGCUGGGUGUACUUCCUGGUCGACGGGUCAGCAUCAGUUUCAGUCGUCAUACAAGGGCAAGGGGAAAGUGGCACUCUUCCGGGAGUGUGUUAUAGCCUUUCGUCGUAUGUGGCGGUCGGGACUGAGGAACUCAGCACGGCUUCGGUCUGUGCUUAGGAUGCUGGCAUAAUGGCCUUAAGCGACCCGUCUUGAAACACGGACCAAGGAGUCUAACAUGCCUGCGAGUGUUUGAGUGGCAAACCCAAGCGCGUAAUGAAAGUGAAAGUUGAGACCUCCGUCGUGGAGGGCAUCGACGCCCGGACCUGAGUCUUUGACGAAGGAUCUGCGGUAGAGCAUGCAUGUUGGGACCCGAAAGAUGGUGAACUAUGCCUGAAUAGGGUGAAGCCAGAGGAAACUCUGGUGGAGGCUCGUAGCGAUUCUGACGUGC